rnacentral:lncRNA from 1 species
CGAACAAAUACCACCCCUCUGGCUCGUUAAACAUCAAAGACUGAUUCAAUUGCUACCUCUGUCUGUGCGGCCAGCGUUCGUACAGCCGAACGCCACGUGGCAGAGAAAACCGCGGCCAUCUUUGUUCAUGCGAACAAAGGCAGCGGGACUUGGUCGUCGAGUGUAUGGAACUGAAAACGGACACUCGACUUCCCGAACACCGGUCUCAAACAGACGAACGCUGGAACUCUAC